UUCAUGUCUUUUGUAUUAAAGAAUUAAAUGGAUGAAAUAUGAAGUUUUAUUAAAAGAAAAAGGGGUGAAAAGAACAAAGUUUUGUCCAUCUUUGUUCAUCAUAGCUGAAAGUUAGAGAAGAGAAAGGAGAGGAGAAAGCUCUUGAGUAUUUGGUCAUUAAGAGGAGGAAAAUUGAAGGCGGUUCGUGCGUGGAUCUCGUCAGCAUAUCGUCGCAAACAGGUAAUCCCCAACCAUAGUGGGCUUGGAGCUAUGAGGCGGUUCGUGUGUGGAU